GGGGGUGUAACUCAGUGGUAGAGUGUCUACUUCGCAUGCAGAAAGUCGUGGGUUCAAAUCCCAGCUCCUCCA
rnacentral:tRNA from 1 species